AAAGUAUUUACAGCUGAAACUGAAUAUUAAAGGUGCUGAACAGGUUGAAUGUAGACCAAAUCACUGUAAAAGGCAGAAAGAGCUGAAACAGAGUUGAAGUGGCAGCUUAAACACAGACUGAAUGAAUUAGGUAAAAGUUCA